UGCCAGCCGCCGCGGUAAUACGGAGGGUGCGAGCGUUAUUCGGUAUCACUGGGCUUAAAGAGUUCGUAGGCGGUCGUGUAGGUCAGGUGUGAAAUCCCACAGCUCAACUGUGGAACUGCGCUUGAAACCACACGACUUGAGGGAGAUAGAGGUGAGCGGAACAGAUGGUGGAGCGGUGAAAUGCGUUGAUAUCAUCUGGAACACCGGUGGCGAAAGCGGCUCACUGGAUCUCUUCUGACGCUGAGGAGCGAAAGCUAGGGUAGCGAACAGGAUUAGAUA
rnacentral:rRNA from 1 species